GGGCACAUAGCUCAGUUGGUAGAGCGCUUGCCUUACAAGCAAGUGGUCGUAGGUUCGAGUCCUGCUGUGCCCA
rnacentral:tRNA from 1 species